rnacentral:tRNA from 1 species
GCAUUUUUAGCUCAGAUGGAUCAGAGCAUCAACCUUCUAAGUUGAUUUGCAUAGGUUCAAGUCCUAUAAGAUGUA